UGUUAGGAGUUCGAGGUUAAGUAUUUUUCGACAUUGUUCGUUGCUGGUCGUCGGCUUGACAAAGUGGUUCUGUAAUUUUGUCUUUUCUCGUUGCAAUUUUUGUAGAAAAUGGGUGCUUCUGAUAAUGAACAAGAGCCUGAGCAAUUUCGUAAAUUGUUCAUUGGUGGGCUUGAUUAUAAAACAACGGAAGAUUCUCUGAAAGGUCAUUUUGAACAAUGGGGUGAAAUUGUUGAUUGUGUCGUGAUGAGAGAUCCUAAUACCAAAAAAUCUAGAGGUUUUGGAUUUAUAACUUAUAAACAAGCAUAUAUGGUUGAUGAUGCACAAGCAGCUAGACCCCAUAAAGUUGACGGAAGAGAAGUGGAGCCAAAACGUGCUGUUCCAAGAGAGGAUUCUGGAAAACCAGAAGCUCAAGCAACUGUGAAAAAAGUUUUUAUUGGUGGUCUGAAGGAAGAUGUUGAAGAAGAUGAUUUGAGAGAGUAUUUUGAUCAGUUUGGAAAAAUUGUAAACUGCAGUAUUGUUACUGAAAAAGAAACAGGAAGAAAAAGAGGAUUUGCAUUUAUUGAAUUUGAUGAUUAUGAUCCAGUAGAUAAAAUAGUCUUGAAAAGACAUCACUUGUUAAAAGGGAAAAGAACAGAAGUGAAGAAGGCUUUAUCAAAACAAGAAAUGGAAAAUAUUAAAAGGAACAAAGAAAUGAAACAAGGACGAGGAUCAUCUGGAAACCGAGGAGGAGGAGGUGGUGGUGGAGGUGAUUGGGGAGGCCGUGGUGACUUCGGAAAUAGUGGAUUUGGAGGUGGAUAUGGAAGCUCUGGAUUUGGUGGUGGCUUUGGAAGCCAAGGUAAUAGUAAUUUUGGUGGUUUUCGAAAUCAAGGAGGAAAUAGCAGUAGUGGAUAUGGAAAUCAAUUCAGUUCAAGAUUUGGUCAAGGUGGUGGAGGAGGUGGUGGUGGAUGGGCUGAUGAUUUCGGCUCUGGUUAUGGAAAUAGUUUUGGGGGUGGUCCCAUGAGAGGAGGAAGCGGAAGUAGUUUUCAUCAGCGUGGACAAGGCCCAUAUGGUGGUGGCUAUGGAGGUGGUGGUGGUGGUGGUUAUGGUGGUUUUCGAAGAUAAGUGCCAUAAUUUGAAAGGGGAAUGGGGAUAGAUAGGUGUAAAUGAUGUGUGUUAAGGAAGAAAUUACGUAUCAGAAAACUUCAGCUCUAAUAAAGAAAAGCAGAAGCCUGCAUUUUGAAUGUUAAAAAAUUGCCAUAAUAAUGUAGAUCUCAUGAUUUUAAAAUGAGAGAGAGAUUUGAGAGGAAAAAAUAUCAAAAGUAAGAAACUUGUGUUUUUUGUAAAAUACAAAUAUAGUAACUGAUUUUUAAGAUUACUAUUUCACACUUUCAAUAAUUUAGUAAUGGUAAUACCAUAAAUCAGGGAUGUCCAGCCAAUGGGCCGCACUGCCCGCCCACUUAAUAUUUUUAUGCGGCCCACUGCACCCUAAAUAUUUUUAGGUGUGUUUUCAUUUAUUUUGGUAAAGUACGUGUAAAAGUUAUUAUCGUUUCACUGGAUACACUUUUAUCUAGAGAACUGUAAUUCAUAUGGGAUAGAACAUACUGUUGUGAACAAUUCUUUUUGUGCAUUAAAAACAUCUAAACUGCUAAAAAAA